AUUGAACGCUGGCGGCAUGCCUUACACAUGCAAGUCGAACGGCAGCACGGGUGCUUGCACCUGGUGGCGAGUGGCGAACGGGUGAGUAAUACAUCGGAACGUACCUUAUCGUGGGGGAUAACGCAGCGAAAGCUGUGCUAAUACCGCAUACGCCCUGAGGGGGAAAGCGGGGGAUCGCAAGACCUCGCGCGAUUAGAGCGGCCGAUGCCUGAUUAGCUUGUUGGUGGGGUAAAAGCCCACCAAGGCGACGAUCAGUAGCUGGUCUGAGAGGACGAUCGGCCAAACUGGGACUGAGACACGGCCCAGACUCCUACGGGAGGCAGCAGUGGGGAAUUUUGGACAAUGGGGGGAAUCCUGAUCAAGCAAUGCCGCGUGAGUGAAGAAGGCCUUCGGGUUGUAAAGCUCUUUUGUCAGGGAAGAAACACCGGCUCUAACACAGUCCGGGAAUGACGGUACCUGAGGAAUAAGCACCGGCUAACUACGUGCCAGCCGCCGCCGUAA
rnacentral:rRNA from 1 species